AUUGAACGCUGGCGGCAGGCCUAACACAUGCAAGUCGAGCGAGCGGCGGACGGGUGAGUAAUGCCUGGGAAUUGCCCAGUCGAGGGGGAUAAAGGUGGAAAAGGACGCCUAAUACGUAUAACGGUUUGAUUGCCAAGGUGGGGUUAGUUGGUUGGGGGGGUAAUGGCUAACCAAGGCACCGAUCCCUAGCUGGUCUGAGAGGAUGAGCAGCCACACUGGAAGUGGGACACGGUCCAGACGCCUACGGGAGGCAGCAGUGGGGAAUAUUGCACAAUGGGGGAAACCCUGAUGCAGCCAUGCCGCGUGUGUGAAGAAGGCCUUCGGGUUGUAAAGCACUUUCAGCGAGGAGGCGUUACUCGCAGAAGAAGCACCGGCUAACUCCGUGCCAGCAGCCGCGGUAAUAC
rnacentral:rRNA from 1 species